GAUGAACGCUGGCGGCGUGCCUAAUACAUGCAAGUCGAGCGAACAGAUGAGGAGCUUGCUCCUCUGACGUUAGCGGCGGACGGGUGAGUAACACGUGGAUAACCUACCUAUAAGACUGGGAUAACUUCGGGAAACCGGAGCUAAUACCGGAUAAUAUAUUGAACCGCAUGGUUCAAUAGUGAAAGACGGUUUUGCUGUCACUUAUAGAUGGAUCCGCGCCGCAUUAGCUAGUUGGUAAGGUAACGGCUUACCAAGGCAACGAUGCGUAGCCGACCUGAGAGGGUGAUCGGCCACACUGGAACUGAGACACGGUCCAGACUCCUACGGGAGGCAGCAGUAGGGAAUCUUCCGCAAUGGGCGAAAGCUUGACGGAGCAACGCCGCGUGAGUGAUGAAGGUCUUCGGAACGUAAAACUCUGUUAUUAGGGAAGAACAAAUGUGUAAGUAACUAUGCACGUCUUGACGGUACCUAAUCAGAAAGCCACGGCUAACUACGUG
rnacentral:rRNA from 1 species